UUAACACAUGCAAGUCGAGGGGCAUCAGGAAGAAAGCUUGCUUUCUUUGCUGGCGACCGGCGCACGGGUGAGUAACACGUAUCCAACCUGCCCUUUACUCGGGGAUAGCCUUUCGAAAGAAAGAUUAAUACCCGAUAGCAUAAUGAUUCCGCAUGGUUUCAUUAUUAAAGGAUUCCGGUAAAGGAUGGGGAUGCGUUCCAUUAGGUUGUUGGUGAGGUAACGGCCCACCAAGCCUUCGAUGGAUAGGGGUUCUGAGAGGAAGGUCCCCCACAUUGGAACUGAGACACGGUCCAAACUCCUACGGGAGGCAGCAGUGAGGAAUAUUGGUCAAUGGGCGCUAGCCUGAACCAGCCAAGUAGCGUGAAGGAUGAAGGCUCUAUGGGUCGUAAACUUCUUUUAUAUAAGAAUAAAGUGCAGUAUGUAUACUGUUUUGUAUGUAUUAUAUGAAUAAGGAUCGGCUAACUCCGUGCCAGCAGCCGCGGUAAUACGGAGGAUCCGAGCGUUAUCCGGAUUUAUUGGGUUUAAAGGGAGCGUAGGUGGACUGGUAAGUCAGUUGUGAAAGUUUGCGGCUCAACCGUAAAAUUGCAGUUGAUACUGUCAGUCUUGAGUACAGUAGAGGUGGGCGGAAUUCGUGGUGUAGCGGUGAAAUGCUUAGAUAUCACGAAGAACUCCGAUUGCGAAGGCAGCUCACUGGACUGCAACUGACACUGAUGCUCGAAAGUGUGGGUAUCAAACAGGAUUAGAUACCCUGGUAGUCCACACAGUAAACGAUGAAUACUCGCUGUUUGCGAUAUACAGUAAGCGGCCAAGCGAAAGCAUUAAGUAUUCCACCUGGGGAGUACGCCGGCAACGGUGAAACUCAAAGGAAUUGACGGGGGCCCGCACAAGCGGAGGAACAUGUGGUUUAAUUCGAUGAUACGCGAGGAACCUUACCCGGGCUUAAAUUGCAGUGGAAUGAUGUGGAAACAUGUCAGUGAGCAAUCACCGCUGUGAAGGUGCUGCAUGGUUGUCGUCAGCUCGUGCCGUGAGGUGUCGGCUUAAGUGCCAUAACGAGCGCAACCCUUAUCUUCAGUUACUAACAGGUUAUGCUGAGGACUCUGGAGAGACUGCCGUCGUAAGAUGUGAGGAAGGUGGGGAUGACGUCAAAUCAGCACGGCCCUUACGUCCGGGGCUACACACGUGUUACAAUGGGGGGUACAGAAGGCAGCUACCUGGUGACAGGAUGCUAAUCCCAAAAGCCUCUCUCAGUUCGGAUCGAAGUCUGCAACCCGACUUCGUGAAGCUGGAUUCGCUAGUAAUCGCGCAUCAGCCACGGCGCGGUGAAUACGUUCCCGGGCCUUGUACACACCGCCCGUCAAGCCAUGGGAGCCGGGGGUACCUGAAGUACGUAACCGCAAGGAUCGUCCUAGGGUAAAACUGGUGACUGGGGC
rnacentral:rRNA from 1 species